GGCUUUUUGGAAGCUCUGCAUUCUUUCCUUUCUGCUCCUCCAGCCAGAGACAACUCUUCCCUCCCAACAGCUGGCCCCUGGCCGGGGCCCAGGCCACCCCAUUGACAUUAAUGCUGCAAGAUUGAUGGAGUGGGGAGACGGAGAGCCAGGACCCCGAGACCCGCCCUAGCCGCUCCCUCUGCUCAGCCUCUGUUUCUCCCUCUCCUCUUCCCUCCAGGACCUUAGUCUCAGGAUCAGCCUCAGGAUCACAAAGGGGCGUGGAGAUGACCUCACACAACCUCCAUGGGGUACGACAAUAGAAACCGAGACCUGUCCCAGGUCACACUGAGCAGGGACUGGAACCCAGGUGUUCUGAGUUCUGGUUCAGGACUCGUCCCCGCCCACCACAGAGAGGUCCCGUCUAAGGACAAGAUCUAGGGUCCCUCACCCAGCUGAGAGGGCCUCAUCUGUGAAGUGAAACCUGUGUGCCCACCACUGCACUCAACUGUUGACUCCUCCAGGAAGCCUUCCCAGGUCUCCCUGUCUGCUACGGGCCUAUCAUGGAGCCCUUCACAAGGUGAUCUGUCCACAGCCUGAGCAGUGACAAACUGAGGGAGAAGGAGAGGGGGUUCCGAUGCCACGUCCUGAGUGGGCUCUGGCCACCCAGCUCAGCCCGCCCUCUGAUCUCACUCGGGUGUGAGCCUGUCUCCUCUGAAGAUCACAGACGCUGAGAACCAGGCUAGGGCAGGGGCUCUGCGCAGUCCUGGGGGCACAGCUUAAGGAACACUCCCCUCCGAGUGUGGCCAAGAAAAACCCUGAACUUGGAGUGCAGUGCUGGGAUUCCAGGAGCUCCAUUUCCAGGAAUCAGUCCUAAGGGGGGGAAAUCCUGAAUGGGAACAAAGAUGAACAUGGUAGAAUUGAUUUAUAAUAGCAAAUCUGGAAACAAUCUAGAAGCCUAGCAGUAACUCAGAAGUAAAACACACUAGUGUAUAUCAGAACAGUGAAGUGGUGUCUAGCCAUUAAAGUGAUGUUUGCAAAGAGUCGUCAUGAGUGUGGCGCUAUGGUGGGGAUGCCGUUUGUCCCCUCAAAGGUUCACGUAUUGGCAUUUGUUUCCUGGGGUGGUGAUGCGGAACCUUUUAGAGAUGGGGCCUAGUGCGAGGUCCUUAGGUCAGCUGGGGGUGUGUCUUCAAAAGGGGUGACGAUAGCUGUCCUGGGACCCCCUGGUAGUCUCAUGACAGGUUUGUGAUGAAAGCGGGAUCCUGGUCCCACCCAGCUCCCUGGCUUCCUUUUGUCCUCCGCCAGCCACUGCGGGACUCUCACAAGACACUGACCCAUGCUGUGUAGAUUUUCAGCCUUCAAAGCUGUGAGCUAGUAACCUCUUUUUCUUCAUAAAUAGCCUACUUAAGUUAUUUUAUUAUAGCAACAAAAAGCUAACACAAGUGGAAGAGUGUAAGAAAGAACACCAUACAAAAAUCGUAUACGCGUGGUGUGAACAAAACGGAAAGAAGUGCAUGAA